rnacentral:rRNA from 1 species
UACGAAGGGGGCUAGCGUUGCUCGGAAUUACUGGGCGUAAAGGGCGCGUAGGCGGCACUGUUAGUCAGGCGUGAAAGUCCUGGGCUCAACCUGGGAACUGCGCUUGAUACGGCAGAGCUAGAGGAUGGAAGAGGCUCGCGGAAUUCCCAGUGUAGAGGUGAAAUUCGUAGAUAUUGGGAAGAACACCGGUGGCGAAGGCGGCCAUCUGGCCCGUGAUUGACGCUGAGGCGCGAAAGCGUGGGGAGCAAACAGG